UAAUACAUGCAAGUCGAACGAGCUUCCGUUGAUUGACGUGCUUGCACUGAUUUCAACCAUGAAGCGAGUGGCGAACUGGUGAGUAACACGUGGGAAAUCUGCCCAGAAGCAGGGGAUAACACUUGGAAACAGGUGCUAAUACCGUAUAACAACAAGAACCGCAUGGUUCUUGUUUGAAAGGUGGCUUCGGCUAUCACUUCUGGAUGAUCCCGCGGCGUAUUAGUUAGUUGGUGAGGUAAAGGCCCACCAAGACAAUGAUACGUAGCCGACCUGAGAGGGUAAUCGGCCACAUUGGGACUGAGACACGGCCCAAACUCCUACGGGAGGCAGCAGUAGGGAAUCUUCCACAAUGGACGAAAGUCUGAUGGAGCAAUGCCGCGUGAGUGAAGAAGGGUUUCGGCUCGUAAAACUCUGUUGUUAAAGAAGAACACCUUUGAGAGUAACUGUUCAGGGGUUGACGGUAUUUAACCAGAAAGCCACGGCUAACUACGUGCCAGCAGCCGCGGUAAUACGUAGGUGGCAAGCGUUGUCCGGAUUUAUUGGGCGUAAAGCGAGCGCAGGCGGUUUCUUAAGUCUGAUGUGAAAGCCUUCGGCUUAACCGGAGAAGUGCAUCGGAAACUGGGUAACUUGAGUGCAGAAGAGGACAGUGGAACUCCAUGUGUAGCGGUGGAAUGCGUAGAUAUAUGGAAGAACACCAGUGGCGAAGGCGGCUGUCUAGUCUGUAACUGACGCUGAGGCUCGAAAG
rnacentral:rRNA from 1 species